UUUUUUUUUGAGAUGGAGUCUUGCUCUGUUGCCAGGCUGGAGUGCAGUGGUGCUCUCAGCUCACUGCAACCUCUGCCUCCCGGGUUCAAGCAGUUCUCCUGCCUCAGCCUCCCAAGUAGCUGGGACUACAGGCACACACCACCACUCCCGGCUAAUUUUUUGUGUUUUAGUAGAGACGGGGUUUUACCAUGUUGGCCAGGAUGGUCUCGAUCCCCCGACCUUGUGAUCCACCCACCUUGGCCUCCCAAAGUGUUGGGAUUACAGGUGUGAGCCACCGUGCCUGGCCUGAAGGUCAUUUUUAUAAAGAUCUCUCCACGUCUUAGAUUUGAUUCUUCCUUUAAAUAUUUUUCUCAUUGACAUUUGAAAGCACCUGACCUUAUAUAAAAUGAACAAUUUUCAUAACUCCAUAAAAGGAGAAUUAUGGCAUCAUCUAUUUCUUUCUCUUGUCUCAUAAAUCUAAACCAUCAACCUGCUUAUUUUUGUAUACUGUCACACUGUGUAUUCCCUGCAUUGAAUGCCUGUCUGUUGACAUUGUCUGUAAAAAUUGUGGGAAGUUUUCUGCACCCUGAAAUUUCUGUUAUGCGGAUUAAAUAUCCACUAUCCAUGUUUUUCCAAGUCUUACAGUAGAAAGGGUAAAUGCAGCCCUCACAGCAGCCUGUUGUUCGUCCUGCAAAUGUGUUUCCAUCACAUUACACAAAGCCUCUUUGUCUUCGUGGUUCUACCCUACUAAUAAGUUUUUAAAAAAAUUAUGUAAUGUGUGUAUAUACAAAUACCUAUAUGUAUGUGUGUACACAUACAGCUGAUAUCUGCUGAGAUUAUGUAUGCAUGAACUAUAGAAUUAACUUGUAAUUUUAAGAAAAUAAAUUAUUUUGUAAAGAUAAAUCUCAUGUUUAAGAAGAGGAAUUACAGUUGAAUCAUUUAGGGAUGCCUCAGCCUAAACAUAAUAUGGAAAAAGCCAUAACCAAAAGUCAUUUUAGAGUACUGCUAGGUUACUCAACCUAUCAUCACAUUUAAUUAAAA
rnacentral:lncRNA from 1 species